ensembl:lncRNA
GAACGGAACACCACCUGCUGUGGCUUUUUUUCUCUGCAGAGCGGAAACAGACAAGGUUUUGUUUCUUUUCAUUGCUGAGGAGAAUGCUGAGUACGUGCCACCCCAUGGAGUGAGCCAGUGUUUAAGUGGGCUCUUGGGACACAGAGAGGCUCAUCCUGAGGUUUAAGUCACCCGGCAGAGCAGAACAUUGAUCAACCAAUCGAAGUUCUGGGUUGUGCAUGGCACAUCUCCUCCCAGGCUGUUUAAAGCACUUAGAGGCCGCAUCUGCAACAGCAGGCCACAGCCACUAGGGAGUGGUACAGAAAUUGUCUUCAAAUAUUGAUUUUUAAACCAAAAGUGAUGUUGGGUCAGACUAUGUAUCAGGUUCAUCCUCAGAGCACGGCGGCCUCUCUGGAUGCAAGCAGACAUUCCAUGUCUACAUCAGGAUUUAGCGGCUUUCUGUUUCCACGGGAGAAUGUCCCAAUGCAACAAAGCCUUUUUAGAUGGAUCUGUAGAUAAACAUAUGUAGACAGACACAAACACACACCUAGAAAAUGUUCACAGGUUUCAGGCCUGCACUUCCAGCUGACCACUUGAAACUUUUCCCAAUAGCAACAGACCUAAAAAUACAUCCGGACCAUCCCAGGAGAGGGCUGGCAGUAUCCUGGGCUUCAGUAAUGAGAAUUUGAGAUGGCACUCGACCCUAUCUCCCAAGGCUCGACACUGGAAUCACAGUGGGUCUGAUACAUUCAUCAUAGCUCACAAAGCAGACGGUUGGAGUCUGAAGGGGCUUUGAAGCCAGGAAGACGUCUGGGCAGGCCCAGGGCGAGCCUAGCGUACAGAGCUGUCUUGUAGAGAGAAAACCUCAUUCAACACUUCACAAGCCACCAGAGCCCUGAGAAAGACAUACAGAGAUAAAGACACAAUGGACAAAGUCCUUUUUGAAAGAUCGAUCCAACCCUGGCAAAGGUAACGCUCAGCAAGGGGCGAACAAAAGUACCAAUUAGAGUUCAGAAUUCAAGUUUAGGUUAGGUUAGAGUCUGUGGAGGAACUCACUGAGAUUAGAAAACCAAUGAUGAAUGGUGGAGCUGAUUCUAUUUCAAACUUUAUUAUGAUGCAGUAUUGGGCACGAGUUAUGCCGCUUCACAUCUGAGCUUAUCUUUAAACAUGUUCAUUAUCUCAGUCAGCACAUUGCUAGCUUGUUUUCAGAACUUCACAGAGUACUUUUGAGAGGUUCACAGUUAAACCAGAAAACAAAGUUAAAAGCAAGAUCAAAGUUAAACAAGUUCCUUGUUUAAAAGUGCUCUAAGUAACUUUCUGGAAUCUUAUACUGCACCUAGUGGCAUAGAUGUACUUGUAGCAUUACACAGAAGGUUUGUGUGUGUGUUUGUGUGUGUGUGUGUGUGUGUGUGUGUGUGUGUGUGUGUGUGUGUGUGUGUGUGUGUGUGUGUGUGUGUGUGUGUGUGUGUGUGAACUACUCCUUUAAUUUAGUCUGAAACCAGCAGUGAUUGGUAAUAGUGGGCUGCCAACGAGUUUUAUUCGGCAGGUCAUGUGAUCUCAACAUGGUGGGCCCCAUGAGGACCUGAAUUGCCCUUUGUAGAAUAAAACAGUUUCUAUUAAGUAAUCACAAUUUUAACCAUAUUUAUCAGUAUUAUUAAUUUAUUUAGGUGUUAAAUCCAGUAAAAAUACUUAGUGCACCUUUAAGUGGUUUGUGGAUCAUUUUACAGAGUAACAUACAAUAGAAAUUUUUAGCCAGCUGUCAGUUUUAAAUGUUUUUUGAAGGGAAUUGCAUCUGUAAAGCUCACAUUACAUAACAUUUUACAGCAAAGAGGAGCCGUAUUUUACUGCAGUUUACCUUUGUUUUACUGUUGACUACAUCACUUGCAUUUCUAUUUUGCAUUUGUGGAAGAAAGCUUAAUAAAUGUUUCUCUCUUGAAUUCCAUCUUACACUGACAGUAAAAGACCAGAAAAUGGAAAACAUCUCCUAUCUUGUCUAGUCCAAAUAAAAUCGCCCUUGAAUUUUUAAUUUGUUGUUAUGAUCCUAUUCAGCAACCCUAAUUAGAUGUGAAAAAUGACUUAAAGGAAACAUUUCCAGGGUAAUGACUUAACCCAAAAAAGCAAAUUGAUAAUAACUUGUGAAUCACACAUUCAGAGCAAUCCCC